GAAGUGCAGGUGUUUCUCCUCUGCAGAAGGUCAGGCUAGAAAAAAGGGAUAUUACAAAAAUCUAAGCAAUGUGGACAGGAAAAACACCUGGCAAAAGAAGGCCUGGCAGAAUUAGCUAUGGAGUGAGGACUUGCAGCAGAGAGUGAUGGUGGCUUUUAUCGGUGCUGGCGGGUGCAGGAGGUGUUAGCAGCCUUGCAGGCAGCCUAUCUAGGUCAGUGCAUCCAUGCAUGUGCAACGGCUCUGGCCUCGCUCCCAGCGAAAGGUUAUACAAACCCACCUCACCCACCCUCCGCAAUAUGAGUUGAAGCCCACUCAAGCCAGUGGCGGUUGGAGCAGAGCUUGCACGGAUCAGGGGAUCGUGGAGGAAAAAGUAGUGUCUGGCACGAGUUUGCCAGAUCCCUGCAGGAGCAGAAGAUGGCAUGACAGCCCCAGGGCCACCUGGAGAGAGGGCGUGAGGUCCCACAGCAGCGCGCAGCACAUCUGCUAGAGCUCUGCUGCUCACCUUGCAGCAUGCUGGAUUUACCUCCUCCCAGGUAACGAGAAGAAUCAUGUUUUCCCUGGUGACUUCUGCACAUCCUCUGUAAUGUGUUUAUGUGUCUCUCCUUGCCUCCCACUAGCGGACAAGCUUCUGUCCCCUGUGGCCAGCGUUGCACAAAAUGAGCAUGUGUAACAAGAAGUCUUGGCCUGGUCUUACAGCUUUGAGACGCGUGGGAACGCUGCUGGAGAAAGCAGCUGGCAAGGCAGAAAAUAAAACCCUCAAGUCACAGAAUAGCUGAGGCUGGAAGGCACCUCUGGAGAUCAUCUAGUUCAGUUUCUCUGUUCAACCUAUGUCAGCUAGGUCAUGGCCAGGACCAUGUCCAGAUUCAGUAAAAUUUUUAAGAUAAAGGUCGGAAUAGUCUCCAACAUCCUUUAGAAUAGGUUUGUUUUGGGUUUUUUUUUUUGUUUUGUUUUGUUUUAAUUUUAUUUUCAUGGUUAUAAAAAACUUCAAAAUGCUGCAGGUUUUAGGGAACUCAUCCUACCAGUAUUCUCAGUGCCAGUCCAGAGGACCCAAACAUGUACCAGCACUCACCCUGCAAGGGCGCGGGAUGCUACAUAGAUUGAACUCAUACACCCUGGGUAGGUAAAAUGCACUGAUCUUUGAUAUUCAUAGUCCAGGUACUGGCGGGACAACCCACCUAAAAGUAGGACCAUUUAGUGUACCUUUGGCCCUAAAUAUCUCUUAAGACAGGGAGAAAAGGCAUGAAGCUCAUAUUUAGAAAAAUAAAUCUUUAUUCUUUUACAAUACAAUAAAAUAAAUUUAAAGAAUUAACCCUUUGCUCCACAAAGUAAUUUCAGCACAAUGUAGAGACUGACUCUAAAAUACAUCGAUCCUUUCUGAAAGCGUGGAGAACCCCUUGAAAACUGUCAGUGUGACGGAACGGCAUUCUGUGAUUUUCUGUUGUGGGAAAUGCAAAAUAAUGUCAAAGUGUUUCUGGAAGUUCAAGCAGUUUGUAUAUCACGUUCAUAUAAAGACACAUGCUCCUAAACCUCUGUACGAAUGUACCUGCAAACAAGAAAAGUGACGGUCAAAACCUGCAUCCUAUGAAAAAGACACUUCAUGGUAUUCUGGAAUGUAUAAAAUGGUUUAAUUAUUAACUGAAGUGAUUGUUUUUUAGAAAAAACACCUUUUCUUUUUUUCUUGUCAUGAGACAUUGCCAUACUCUACCAAAUGAAAAAGACCAAUCCCUCCCUGCAUUCUAAUAGGGGCAUUUCAGAGAUAUGCCUCUCAUACUUACUUUUUUUGGGGUGGGGAGGGCUGUUUUGAAGUGCUUGUUGGCAUUAUGGAAUUGUAAAAAUGUCCUAUUUUAGUAAUAUUAGAUAUCAGACAAAAUGAUCUUUAAUUUUUGUUGUUUUUUAUGAGGGAAACAACAAUGCAUUUUCUGUGGUGCAGAA